AAGUCGUAACAAGGUCUCCGUUGGUGAACCAGCGAGGGAUCAUUACAGAGUUAUAGACUCCCAACCCUAUGUGAACUUACCAUCGUUGCCUCGGCGGACCUUUCCGGUACAGCCUCUAUUUUGAGUCACCCUGAAGGGACGCCGGCGGACAUAUAAAUUCUGUUAUCAAAAUGACAUCUGAGCGUCUUAUUAAAUAAGUCAAAACUUUCAACAACGGAUCUCUUGGUUCUGGCAUCGAUGAAGAACGCAGCGAAAUGCGAUAAGUAAUGUGAAUUGCAGAAUUCAGUGAAUCAUCGAAUCUUUGAACGCACAUUGCGCCCAUUAGUACUCUAGUGGGCAUGCCUGUUCGAGCGUCAUUUCAACCCCUAAGCCCCGCUUAGUGUUGGGAGACUACUAUUAGCUGGUGCUUCCCGGGAGCCACCCUGAAAGAUGGGUCGGCCUACCCGGUGGUUACCCUGUAGCUCCUCAAAGACAGCGGCGGAGUCGCGGUGUCCUCUGAGCGUAGUAAAUCUUCUCGCUUUUGACGGUGCCACGGCCCCUGCCGUAAAACACCCCUUUUUUAAUGGUUGACCUCGGAUCAGGUAGGAAUACCCGCUGAACUUAAGCAUAUCAAUAAGCGGAGGAAAAGAAACCAACAGGGAUUGCCCUAGUAACGGCGAGUGAAGCGGCAACAGCUCAAAUUUGAAAUCUGGCCUUACGGUCCGAGUUGUAAUUUGUAGAGGAUGCUUUUGGUGCGGUGCCUUCCGAGUUCCCUGGAACGGGACGCCUUAGAGGGUGAGAGCCCCCGUACGGUUGGACGCCUAGCCUCUGUAAAGCUCCUUCGACGAGUCGAGUAGUUUGGGAAUGCUGCUCUAAAUGGGAGGUAAAUUUCUUCUAAAGCUAAAUACUGGCCAGAGACCGAUAGCGCACAAGUAGAGUGAUCGAAAGAUGAAAAGCACUUUGAAAAGAGGGUUAAAUAGCACGUGAAAUUGUUGAAAGGGAAGCGCUUAUGACCAGACUUUCUCCUGGCGGAUCAUCCGGUGUUCUCACCGGUGCACUUCGCCUGGUUUAGGCCAGCAUCGGUUUCUGUAGGGGGAUAAAAGCUUCGGGGACGUGGNUCCCUCGGGAGUGUUAUAGCCCGUUGUAUAAUACCUUACGGGGACCGAGGUUCGCGCAUCUGCAAGGAUGCUGGCAUAAUGGUCAUCAGCGACC
rnacentral:rRNA from 1 species